UACGUAUGGUGCAAGCGUUAUCCGGAUUUACUGGGUGUAAAGGGAGCGCAGGCGGCACGGCAAGCCUGAUGUGAAAGCCCGCGGCCCAACCGCGGGACUGCAUUGGGAACUACCGGGCUGGAGUACCGGAGAGGUAGGCGGAAUUCCUAGUGUAGCGGUGAAAUGCGUAGAUAUUAGGAGGAACACCAGUGGCGAAGGCGGCCUACUGGACGGUGACUGACGCUGAGGCUCGAAAGCGUGGGGAGCAAACAGG
rnacentral:rRNA from 1 species